UACGGGGGGGGUAAGCGUUGUUCGGAAUUACUGGGCGUAAAGGGCUCGUAGGCGGCCAACUAAGUCAUACGUGAAAUCCCUCAGCUUAACUGGGGAACUGCGUGUGAUACUGGAUGGCUUGGAUUUGGGAGAGGGAUGCGGAAUUCCAGGUGUAGCGGUGAAAUGCGUAGAUAUCAGGAGGAACACCGGUGGCGAAGGCGGGUCUCUGGGCCGUAACUGACGCUGAGGAGCGAAAGCGUGGGGAGCGAACAGG
rnacentral:rRNA from 1 species